UCAAUAAGCGGAGGAAAAGAAACUAACAAGGAUUCCCCUAGUAACGGCGAGUGAAGCGGGAAGAGCUCAAAUUUGUAAUCUGGCGGUCACCCGGCCGUCCGAGUUGUAGUCUGGAGAAGCGUCUUCCGUGCCGGACCGCGUACAAGUCCCCUGGAACGGGGCGUCGUAGAGGGUGAGAAUCCCGUCUCUGACGCGGGCUGCCGGUGCUCUGUGAUGCGCUCUCGAAGAGUCGAGUUGUUUGGGAAUGCAGCUCAAAAUGGGUGGUAAAUUCCAUCUAAAGCUAAAUACGGGCAAAAGACCGAUAGCGAACAAGUACCGUGAGGGAAAGAUGAAAAGCACUUUGGAAAGAGAGUUAAACAGUACGUGAAAUUGUUGAAAGGGAAACGCUCGGAGUCAGUCGCGUCUUCCGAGACUCAGCCGGGUCCCACCCGGUGCACUUCUCGGUGUGACGGGCCAGCAUCGAUUUCGACCGUCGGAGAAAGGCUCUGGGAAUGUGGCACCUCCGGGUGUGUUAUAGCCCCUUGUCUUAUGCGACGGUCGGGAUCGAGGACCGCAGCGCGCCCUUCGCCGGGCCGGGGUUCGCCCACGUAACGCGCUUAGGAUGCUGGC
rnacentral:rRNA from 1 species